rnacentral:rRNA from 1 species
UACGAAGGGGGCUAGCGUUGUUCGGAAUUACUGGGCGUAAAGCGCACGUAGGCGGAUCGAUCAGUCAGGGGUGAAAUCCCAGAGCUCAACUCUGGAACUGCCUUUGAUACUGUCGAUCUAGAGUAUGGAAGAGGUGAGUGGAAUUCCGAGUGUAGAGGUGAAAUUCGUAGAUAUUCGGAGGAACACCAGUGGCAAAGGCGGCUCACUGGUCCAUUACUGACGCUGAGGUGCGGAAGCGUGGGGAGCAAACAGG